rnacentral:lncRNA from 1 species
AAAGCCAUCCAUUCCAACAGCUAGCUAGCUGACCAAAGCAACUUGCUGAUUGUUGAUCAAUAUAACGGCAGGCAUAGAAAAUAGCUGCCGCCCUGUCCAUAGCUAAUUAAAUACACAGGUUAUUAUACAGACCAAGUGACUUCUUUACUAUACAAUAACAGGAUGAAGGAUAUAUAGCUAGAUAUAGCUAAUCACCGGAAAUCAACACUGGACUCGCUCUCUCUCAGUGAGGAGGCGCUAAUAAGCCACUCUAAUAUCUUGGCCGUAGUUUGUUACACACAAGAGGCCGGAGAAUCCAGGUCCUAGACUCCUAGUAGUGUCCUAGACGUCCUAGCUACGCACACGUACGCCGUGGCCGCCGGCCCGACUAGGCAUAGGCAAUGCCGUCGUCGAAGUUCUGGGAGUAGCUAUGCAGGUCAUACCCGAACCUGACCGCGCUUCGCCUCGGCCGCGCCGCCGUGCGUCUCCUCCAAGAGCACCUCAACCUCGAAAGAAGCUGCUUCACCGCCGCCGACGACCGGCCACUGCUCCUAUCAUGUACCCUCCCGCCCUGGGCGCUGGUGGUGGUGUACAGGCCUAGCAGAGACGCCGCCAUGAUCGCUCACUCGGUUCUCGCAAGUCACUCGCAGACACUCUCGCGAAUAAGUGACAAAUAUAAUAACUAGCUGCUAGAUCUGUUUGCUCCGAGAGCUCGAGUAUCUGUGUGCUGCAGCUCUGUAGCAAGAUGAUGUGCGAAACGAAACCUCCCAUGCCGCAGCUUUAUAAGCUCGGAUGGUGCGAGUAUUCCGACACGCGCCACGCGUCGUCGAUCGACGACGUCGGCACCCAGACCCACCAGGACGCAUUCACGUACAUGGUGACGAGGCAUCCACUCAUGGUCCAAGCAAAAUCCUCAGCUUCAUGCAUGCAUGCAUCUUCUCGAAAGCCGCGGGUCGUGCAGCCAAACCACAAGCAAAAUCCACAGCAAGAAGCAUGUGCAUUUGCUGGUGGUUUGGCUUGCUUUAGUGACCGAUCGUCGAGUCGGAUGGCCAAGGCAACUGGCGCCACGGCGACGGCGGCGCCUAGUCACCUGAGCUGCUUCCUGUCCGUGUCGUCCUGCCGGCGGGUCGUUGCUGUCCCGGUCCGUCCUGCCGCUGGAUGAUGCAUGCAUGUCGGAGUGUCAUCAGAGAGUAGGAUGCGAUCGAUGCCAUUGGACGAACUUUGGAAGAGAUGGAUCGGUUGUGCAUGGGUUCAGUGACGAUGGAUGACAGAUGAGCAAUCCAACCACUCACCAUGGAUAAUACUGGUUACUGCUUCUUUUUGGACGAUCUUAUCCUUGUACCGACGAUGAGUAAAGCUUGGAACCAUGACCAAGCUUUUUAUUUUUUGUAAAGCUGGAACAUGCAUGUAUGGUCUUUUGAUAUCUUCAAUCAAAAAAGGGGAAAAAAUAUACCAACGAGCUGAGUCAUGCAUGCGGAGGAUCGACAUGGGAACGGUUGUACGUCUUCUACUGACUACAACGAAUUUCUACAUGACCAUACAUAUAAAAAAAAGAAAAAAAAAGAGAGAGAAAGGGAACGCCGCACUAGUGUCAGUUAAAGCAAAAAUCUCUAGAUGAGGCGAAGCUUCUGGCUGCAUGAGUGUUCAGCCUGAUCACAGAUCACAAAAAGAGCGAUGGUCGGUGUUGAUGGAAUUACAGUGUAUAUGCAGGGGAAUGUGGUAGCACACAUCAUGGUCCAAGAAUGAGUCGCCAGUCUUGCUUUUGAGGUUUUGCCCUGACCCGAUGCCAGUUUUCCUUUUCCUUUGCCUUGAGAUCAGUAGCUUCAUUUGGCUGUCACAAGGCCUUUUCCGAUUUGAUGGUCCGGGCUACCUACAUGGCUCUUUUUGAGGAAUUGUGUAGGGUUACACCCAAAUAAUUAAUAAACAGCUUUUAUUUCGUAAUACAUGUAUCCUUAAAUAGAGUGACUUUUGGUUGACCAAAUUUAUACGCAUGCCAAAGUGCUAAAAUCUAAAAAUAUAAUUAAUGUUAUUUAAUAAUGUUCACUUAAUAUAUUUUUUAUAGAUUAUAUCAAAUUUAUAAUAAUUUGACUUAGAACAACUUAAAUGUACUAAGUAUUAUAUAAAGAAGUGGUUUAGACUACUAGUCCAUAAAACCGUGCUACCUACGUACUGCACAAGAUAUUUAGCUAGAGUGGUAGGAGGAGGCAUAAAGUAUUGGAUGUUCAUGUUUAGUACCUAUAAUAAAUUUAAAUUACUUACGUUUGUGUACUCUCUAGCUCUUUUUGUCAUUUUCAACACAAUACCCAUGUAUGUAAUAUGUGUCAAGUUAUUCUGAACUUAUCAAUUACUCUAUUUUUCAUGCACAUAUAUAGUUUCUCUCUCUAUGCAUCACAUUUUACAUAUAGUUUAGAAUUAGGCAAUAUGUUUGGUUUGGCUUUGAAAAGAGCUUCUGCUGCUAAAAAAUAAUAAUGCCAAUUCAAUGGGUGGGACUUGAAGUUGCUUUUCUAAAAAUAACUACUUUUGUGUAGUACUCCCUUUGUCCAUGAAAGAAUCAAUUAAUUCUUAAAGUUGUUCUAAGUUAAACUCAGGGUUCAAAAUUUCGGCGAUAUUUCGCCGAAAUUUCGCGAAUUUCGGUAAUUUCGGUGGUGGCCGAAAGAAAAAUCCGAAAUUUUAUUAUAUACUAAUACAUGUGCUAUAUAACUUUAGACUCAUAUUUUCUAGUGCUUAUAUUGCAUAUUCUUCUAUUCAAUAGAUGUGUAAUCAUAAAUCAUAUUGAUACUUGUUUAGAUCUAAUUUUUUUAAAAAUAAAAGCAUACUUCAUGUGCUAGUCUCUAAAAAAAUUUCGGCGAAAUUUCGGCCGAAUUUCGCGAAAUUCGGUAAUUUCGGUGGUGGCCGAAAUUUUUGCGAUAACAAAAUUAAAAACCUUGGUUAAACUAAUUUGAUCGAAAAUUUCUAGACAAAACCGCUAAGAUUUAUAAUAUGAAACUAGUAUCAUUCGAUUUUCCAUAGACUAUAUUCUCAUAAGAUGUAAGUUUUAUGUUAUAGAUGUUGUUACUCUUUUCUAUAAAGUUAGUCAAACUUAAAAAAGUUUGGCUAGCACGGAUUCUAGAAAUUGAUUUAUUUGGGGACGGAGGGAGUACAAUUUUUGCAACACUUUGGACUUUGAUUUUCUAUAGGUAAAUUGAAGCCAUCCAUUCCAAGAGCUAGCUGACCGAAGCAGCAGAUAGGCAAUCACCAGAAAUUAACACUGAGAGCUCACUCAAUCUGUCAGUGAGAAAGCACUAAGCCACACUAAUAUCUUGGCCAUAUAUAGUUAGUUACACAGAACGAAGAAGGAGAACCCUGGUCCUAGACUCCUAGUCCUAGCUAUGCACAACGGCACAACCGCACAAGCCGUGGCCACCGGGCUGACUAGGCACGGGCAAUGCCGUCGUCGAAGUUCUGGUAGUAGCUAUGCAGGUCAUACCCAAACCUGACCGCGCUCCGCCUUGGCUGCGCCGCGCGCCUCCUCCACGAGCACCUCAACCUCGACAGCAGCUGCUUCACCCCGGCUGGCGAUCGGGGGCUGCCGUUCCUGGCGUCGCCCCGGCUGCUGCCGCCGGUGAGGCUGAUGAGCAGAGAUGUCAUCCUCUCUUGUUCGCUCACACACCAGUUGUCAGUGGUCACAACUCACAAGUCACAAGUUGUGUCUCGUCGCAACCGCUAUACAAGCUUGCCCUCUCUGCUCGGAGCUAUCUCUAUGCUGCAGCUGUAGCUUAUGAAGAUCUUGUGCAAAACAAACCCUCCCGUGGUGAACUUUAUAAGCUCGGAUGUGAUGCGAUGGUACGGUGGGAGACGUACGUCGCCAGCCGGUCAGACCCACCAGCACGCACUCACGUACAUGGUGACGAGGCAUCCACUAUGCAGAUCACCAAAAUCCAGCUUCAGGCAUCUUUUUCAGAGCCGCGCGCGGCCCGCGGGUCGUGCGGUCGAAAAAGAAAUAUAUAACGGUAUUCCAUCCGGAAAUAUAUACCACCAACCGCGCGAAACCUGGCCUUGUUUAGUUGCCGAAAAAUUUUGCAAAAUUUUUCAGAUUUCCCGUCACAUCGAAUCUUUAGACGUAUGUAUGGAGUAUUAAAUAUAGAUAAAAAUAAAAACUAGUUACACAGUUUGGUCGGAAUUGACGAGACGAAUCUUUUGAGUCUAGUUAGUCUAUAAUUGGACAAUAUUUGUCAAAUACAAACGAAAAUACUACUAUUUCUAUUUUACAAAAAAUUUUGAAAGUAAACAAGACGGACGAUGACUUGACUACUGCAGGCGAUGACCUGACGGCCAUGGCUCAUGGACGUGUUGGGAUGUCACGUACUUCCUACGUCGUAGAAUAGAUAUAUCGUUAUAGGAUACUUGCAGAUUAACGUUUCUUAAUUUUAACUAAAUUUAUAAAAAAAAUAUAUACAAUAUUUAUAUAUUUAAAUAAGUUUAUUAUAAAAAUAUAUUCAACGAUCUAUCUAAUAAUAUUAAUUAUAUAUUAUAAAUAUUAAUUAUUUUUUAAAAUAUUUAGUUAAAGUUAAAAGUAUUUGACUCGUUGGGAACAUCUAUUUCCGCUGCCUGCACCGUCGUCGUGCAUGCGGACGAGUUGGGCAAGAUGUGGGUGAAGGACCGAAAACGGCGACCAGAGGGGGGUGAAUGAGAGCCUCAAAUUUUCUCUCGAAUAUAUUGGGCCACUGUCCCGAGUUCACCUCCAAACAUGCAACAACUCCAAAUCUAGAAUACUCACGCCAACUGGUGACGGAAGUACCCAGAGAAAUUCCUUAGAGCUAUAGAAACUCAAUGCAACAGACGGCUUGUAAAUCGGAGUCCAAACGACCGAGCCAGACGCAAAACAAGAAAUCGAGGCUAGAAAAAUAAACAAAAAAUCCUCUAAAAAUAUUUAUCACUGUGAAAUAACGAACAAAGAUGGAGAAGCUGCUCUCCACUCUGCCCAGCAGCAACAAUUUGUCCAAACCUGAGCCGGCUGAUUUACUCUGCCUGACUGCUUGACAAUCGAGCAGAGAUUUCCCUAUUCGUUGGACCUGUUUCUUGCAAACAGCAAACUGAAAAAGAAAACCGGCAGCUCAAACUCAAUUCCAGAAACACAAAGGCACUAAACAAGUACAGAACCUGGACUUGCACGGCCAGGAGCAAGCACUGGUUGAAGCAAAUUACUAAUGAGCUUUAAAGCCUUCUCUGCCCAAACCGUGAUCAAGGAAUAGCUUUGAGAGAGAAUUAAAAAAAUCCAACCACUAUUGCUUGAUUGUGACAUCUCCAAAAGCCUCAAGAUCAAUUCACGAGAACUACAGAGAAAUUGGAAACAAGAAAGGAACUGGACGUUUCCUGCAGACUUGAGUCGAUCUGCAAAGCAAAUACGCAAGCGCUCAGCUGAUGGAUUUCCAACUACCAGUCAGCACUGGUUGCAAUCGGUGCCUAGCACCAGUCCUCCUGAAAGCAAGCCUGAGUACGAACACCAGAGAGAAAAAGAGAUCAACGAACAAGGACUGAGCACGGGUCUGCACGUGCUUGAUGCCUGGCCGAACUCCCGCUCGGAGCUAGGAUACUGAGAGCGCACGACGCAGGCCAACAGCGAGCACUGCUCAACCGAGCACGCACGAUGCUAGAGCACCUGCGCUGGUAGUGCUGCCUUCAGCCCUUCACCCAUCGGACACAGGAUAAACUUCACGAACAGGUAAAAAACAGGCGCCCACAAAAUCGAAUGGAUCUCACUCGAAUCGAAAGCUCUUGAGCUCAGAUUUUACACAGAUGUAAUUCAACUCAGCACGAAGCUAUUCCCAAAAAUUCAUCACUUGAAAUCAACCUAAACUCUGGGAAAAACAGAUCGAAGGUAAGCACGAAAAAUGGAGGAAUAAACUCAAGAACUCAGCACGGUGUCAAAUAAAAAUCACAGCAACAACUGUAGAAUCCUGGAGGACAAAAGGAGGAUAUGGGCCUCCUUUCCCAUCUCAAAAAUUCUCAAAAAAAAACACCACGAAUUUUAGUUCAUGGGGACCUCUAGAACACUAACCCUAGGUGGAGGAGGAAUGAAGGAGUGGGAGAGAGGUAAGAGAGUUGGGGAACUCUCACGGCUUAUUUAUCAGGCAUAUUACAUAUUCCCCAAAAGUCUCUAGAUAUUUGAGCGAACUAGCUAGCCCCAGGGGCAUUUUAGUCCAACUCGACAUGACCUAAAUCCGACGGCCACCGCGCCUCCUCACCGGUAGCCUCGCUCCGAAGCGAUCUCACCGAUGCCGCAACGUGUCGUCCGUCCGCAUCAGGACCUCCGCCCGGGUUUUGAGGCCCAAACCCGCGAAACCCGCCGCGAGUAGCGUACUCCAUACGCUUCCCCGCCACUCGACACGUGUCACCGCCGUCCUCGACUGGCCGGCCCGCUAAGUCCUCCUGAGCCUCGCUUGACUCGCGUCCACCGUCUUGACUUGGUCAACACGGUCACUCUCAUGUACACUUGCACUUGUCGAUGUCCCAGAUGUCAGCCACUACGGCUGGUCACCCGGCCUCCUGGUCCGUCAGUCCAAGCCUCACAUCCAUCCUUCACCGCUCAGGUCCAUCAGCACGGCACGUCUCUACUUGACCUUCACCUCGCCGUCGACCACCGCCUCCGAGCUCCACAGCUGAACACCACAAGCCAAGAGACAUGUCGCACAUAUAGCUUUCGCCAUGGUAAUGUUAGUCACAAACUCAACCUAUUUGUGGAUCACGUUGACAAUCACUCAUCACAAAACGAACCACAAGGGUACUUCUCAACCUUGUGUUCGCAAUCUCCCCCUUGAUGAGUGCAUUGUCAACACUCUCACACCAACAACUUGAGCAAAAGAAAGAACAGAGAAGGAGGAAGGAAGAACGCACCCAAAUGACCAAAAGCCAGAGAAAGCCAAAACAGGGUCAUUUGAAGUGAGUAACACUUGGCAAAAACUCGGUCCCCAAAGACAUGGGCAACGGCUCGACACAACCAAGUAAAACACAGCUAGCCCUCAAGAAGAGGCAAACAGGCUCAACACCGCUAGCAAAACUUGAAAAGCCAGAAAACAACUAGACCCUCCAGAAGAGGCAAAGGCUCAACACAUCUAGCAAAAGCAACUCAAAUGCAACUCCCCCUGAGCAAAUGCAAUCUCUCUCAAAUGAAUGCAUGUCUCUCUUUUUGUUUGUAACUUUCUCUCCCUUGUUGACACAUGCACUUAUCAAGAUUUGCCCUAGGAGUGCAACUCCCCCUCAAAACAUGCUAUGAAUGCAAGAAAUGCACGUAUACAAAAGCUUCAGGAGUAUAGCAAUCAUAUUGAAAAGAUGCUCUAAGUGGUGUUGUCAUGUGUGUAUAGCAAUAAGUACAAGUGCUAGCAAAUGCUCAAACUGAUCAAGUGAAACGAAAUAUGACAUUUAAGCAUUUUUAAUCAAUUUUAAGCUAUUGUAAGGAGUUCACCACUGAAAGUAGCACAUAGCAGGUAUAAGCAGGAAAUCAACCUAGUGCUAACAAGUGUAUACAAGGUGAACUACCCCAAGCAGCGUUCAUACAUCAUGUCAAAGACUAACUUUAGACUUGUGUUUUCAUCAAAAUGUUAUUUUAUCGGAGUUUGCAACAUAUCACAAGGUUUAGUCAAAAACAUGUGUGAGUGCGAGAGGUUAUCUGUACUGUCAAACCAACUUAUCGACCAUGCCAAGCCUAUGUCAAAGACAAUCGCAAGCUUAAGACAAUGAUCUCGGCAUCCACUACAAGGCUCAAGUUCAUCCAUAAGUGCAAUUGGAAGCAGUCUCGAUACCUUGACGUAGGACAGUACAGACCCAUCUCGAUCUUUUCUUUUCACUUAGCUUGAUUUUCAAUUUUUAGCACAAGAAUUUACAAGUUGUCCAAGCAAGUGUAUAACUCAAAGCAUGAGACAUAGCAACCUAGCAUAUAAAUGAUAGCUCAAGUGAUCUCAACACAUCCUACACAUGCUAGUUGCCAAUGACAAUGGUGAACAAUUUUCAGGUUUCAACAGGUUUCUGUCAAGUUCACUAGUUGUAAAACAGCUUAGCUCAUAACAUGCAUCAAGUGAUGAAAAAGAGCCUAAGCGACAAGCACCAUCAUGUACAUACAAGACAUAUCACAAAGAGCAUAAUCUCAAUCUAACAACUAUAAUCAUGAAGCUCAAAAUGCUCUAAUAUACAUGAUGAGAUGAAAUGCAAUGCAAUAUGAUACAAAAAAUAAAAUAAAAACUAAACUAAAACAAAACAAAACUAGAGUACAAACAGCAAAGUUCCUCUCAACUAAAAAGGGAAACAAACACCAAGCUCCCCUCGCAAGCGAGCAAACUGGGCUUGGUCAAGGGGCUUGGUAAAGAUGUCUGCGAGCUGAUUUUGGGUAUCAACAUGGUGUAGGUCAAUAUCUCCUUUCUCAUAGUGGUCACGCAGGAAGUGAAAGCGGACAUCUAUAUGCUUGGUUUUUGAGUGGAGAACUGGGUUUUUAGCAACGCUUGUGGCACUGGUGCUAUCACAAAGCAAAGGCACUCGCCUAAACUCUAACCCAAAGUCUCUCAGAGUAGCUAUCAUCCAAAGCAACUAGGAGCAGCAAGCAGCAGCAGCAACAUACUCGGCUUCUGUGGUGGAUUGGGCAACUGAGGAUUGCUUGCGAGAGGACCAAGACACAAGAGAAGUCCCAAGAAACUGGCAAGUCCCCGACGUGGACUUGUGCUCAACACGGCAGCCGGCAUAAUCCGCAUCAGAAUAGCCGCAAAGAGAAAGAGAGGAGGAAGCUGAAAACCAAAGACCGAACUCAGGUGUGAAACGGAGGCAUCUCAAGAUCCGCUUGACGGCUUGACGAUGAGAUGUGCGCGGCGAAGACUGAAAGCGUGCGCACAAGCAGACCGCGAACUGGAUGUCCGGUCUUGUCGCCGUCAGGUAUAGCAGUGACCCGAUCAUGCUUCGGUACUCCUUUUGGUCCACAGCUUCUCCUUCUUCAUCUGCAUCCAGGGCCGUCGUGGUCGACAUGGGCGUCGAGAGAGGCUUGGCCUCGCCCAUAUCGAAUUUCUUGAGUACGUCCUUGGUGUACUUGCCUUGGUGCAAAAACGUCCCUUCUCUAGUUUACUUGAUUUGCAAACCAAGAAAGAACGUCAACUCGCCCAUCAUGCUCAUCUCAAAUUCCCUGCUCAUAGUUUCUGCAAACUUGCCAACAAGUGCAUGAGAAGAGCCACUGAAAAUGAUAUCAUCCAUGUAUAUCUGAACCAAAAGAGUGUCAGUGCCUUGCUUGAGAAGAAACAAAGUUUUAUCAACCGAACCCAUUUUAAAACCCUUUGCAAGCAAGAAGGUUUUCAAACGCUCAUACCAGACUCUCGGGGCUUGUUUUAGACCAUACAAGGCUUUGUGGAGUUUAAAAACAUGGUUAGGAAACCUAGGAUUUUCAAAGCCAGGGGGUUGUCUCACAUAGACCUCUUCCUCUAUAUACCCAUUCAAGAAAGCACUCUUCACAUCCAUCUGAUACAGCUUGAACCCUUUUGAAGAUGCAAAGGCUAAAAGGAUCCUAAUGGCUUCUAGACCGGCAACAGGAUCAAAGGUUUCCUCAUAGUCUAUCCCCUCUUUCUGACAAAAACUCUGAGCUACCAACCUAGCUUUGUUCCUCACUACCACCCCAUCUUCACUCUGUUUGUUUUUAGAAACCCACUUGGUACCUAUGGGAUGGCAAUCUGGUGGAAGUGGUAGUAAAACCCAAACCUUGUUUCUCUCAAAGUUUUCUAACUCCUCAUGCAUAGCAUUAACCCAAUCGGAAUUAGAUAGUGCGUGUCCAACAUCUCGAGGCUCAAAAGAAGCAACAAAAGUAGAAUGAGCGAAGUGUGAGAUGUGAUAUGACCUGGACCGCGUGACUCGCUGGUCAAUUUCACCAAUCAUGGUCUGAGGUGGAUGGCGACGCUGAAUGUGUCGAGGUGCUUCCCUCGAAGAAGUCGCCUCCCCCUCAACUGCAGCUGGGGCCUCCUCAGGAACAGCCGGUGUAGGUUGAGGAGGCUGCUCGAACGGACCCCAAGUCAUGGAAGAAGAAGGGUCAGGGCCAUCAGCUGAAGUAGUCGUCGAAGACGCGAGAGCGGCAGCCAGUGGUGUCGGCUCGGGAUCAGCCCAAUCAGCAUCUUCUGCAUCAUCCUCAACAAAGAUGCUCUCACCAAUCUCCUGAUCACCUGCACAUUCAAAGACAGGAGAAGAACAUGGCAUAGUCUCAUCGAAUGUGACCUCAUAGGUCUCCACGACUCGGUUAGUUUCAAGGUUAAGUACACGAUAUGCAUGAGAAUGAGAAGCAUAACCAAGAAAAAUAACGUCGGAGGACCUAGACUGAAAUUUUUCCAAAUUACCUUGCUUCAGGAUGAAACACUUGCAACCAAACACCCUGAAGUGACUUACCUUGGGUAGUAUACCAAAUCGCAACUCAUAAGAAGUCUUUUUCAAGAAGGCUCGAAGAAAAAUGCGAUUGGAAACAUGACAAGCGGUGUUGAUCGCCUCGGUCCAAUAUCUCCUAGGAGUCCUAUGCUCAUCGAGCAUCGUCCUGGCCAUCUCAACAACGGUCCGAUUUUUGCGCUCAACAACACCAUUUUGCUGGGGAACAUAAGGAGAGGAAAACUGGUGCUCGAGACCCAAAGAAGCACAGAAGGUAUCAAACUGAGUGUUUUUGAAUUCUGUGCCAUUGUCACUGCGUAUAGCUCUCAUGGCAUUCUUAGGCAACUCAAUCUGUAACCGAAAAAUCAAAUCUCGAACAUGAGAAAAAGCCUCAUCCUUACCCUCCAUGAAAAACACCCAAGAGUAGCGAGAAAAGUCAUCCACAAUCACUAGAACAUACCACUUCCCUCCCUCUGACCGAACCCGAGCCGGACCAACCGUGUCCAUAUGAAGUAGCUCACCGGGUCCCUUGGUCAUGACCUGAGUCACAGGAGGGUGAGAAGCGGCAACCAUCUUCCCAUGACGACAAGGGUGACAAACCAAAUCCUUCUCAAAUUUCAAUUUGGGCAAUCCUCGGAUUAAGUCAAGUGAGCUCAACCUAGCUAGUAAGUCAAAGCUCAAAUGACCAAGUCUCCUAUGCCACUUCCAAAGAUCAGAAGAGGAUCCAGCCACAAGACAACGAGAAGAGCCAAGAGAGUGAGAAAAAUCAGCUCGAAAAACACGACCAAAAGGGACAAUCUGGCAAACAAGAUUUCCCUGAGAAUCAAGAACUCGAGACAAGCCGGUCUUAAAACGCACCUCAAAACCAUCCUGAAGGAGUUGCGAAACCGAAAGCAAAUUGAAAUGCAAAUUCGAAACCAAAGCAACAUCCUUCAAGACAAAACUCUCAUUGACCCGAAUGGUCCCACGAGAAAGCACUUUACCUUUGCUAUUAUCCCCGAAUGUGAUGUACUCCUUACAUUGCACAGGGUCGAGGCUGGAGAACCAUUUUGAACUUCCGGUCAUUUGGCGCGAACAACCGGAAUCAACAAGCCACGUGUUCUCCAGGCCUCCGAUCUGCAUCAAUAGAAAGACAUGGGCUGAGCAAAUGGCGCAACACUGGGGUUAGUAAACUGUGAAGGAUACCAGUGUUGGGUCAUUUGCCCUGGAAAAGUGUUAGGAAAAACACCAAGCAUGCCAUGUCCCAUUUGAGGAAAGCGAUCACCACGAAAGGGAAAACGUGGUCCGCUAGAGCUGUGGGACUGAGAAGCAAAGCCACCGCCACGAGGUUCAAAGUCAUAUUGAUCAUGACAUGAACCACGUCGGGCACGACCACCACGUGGUCUCGCAAGCCGAGGCCUAGCACCUUGAGGCAUUGCACCUCUAGGCCUAGCACUGCGCCUCUGAACAGGCGGCACAUGUACGCCAUGGGGUGGGCGGUACAUGUUCCAGUUGUUCAACUCGUACUCUCGCCGCUCAUCUCUCUUCCUCCUAAGGCAAAACUCAACAAGGUGACCAUCCCUAUGGCAAUACUCACAGUGAUACCUUACCUCUCUCUUGGGUGGUUGUUGGUUCACUCUCUUGUGGGUAUGGUUCACUCUUGGUGGCUUUUUGGCUUUAGGAAGGGGAUCCUCAGAGAUGUUUGGUAGAGUGUCAAGUGGGUUCCUGAGAUGGUUAGGUUUUCGAAUCCACACUUGUUUCUGAGGUGGGACUUUUGGAGGUUCUUCAAACACUCCAUCUUUGACAGUGGGUUUGGAAGGCUCAGGUGGAGUGAAUUUGAUCAAAUUGGGAGUAGUGGAUGGUUUCUCACUCGGGCUCAAACCACUAAACUCACCAACCUUGCCAUAAAGAUUUUCACCCUUCCCACCUAUAGCAAAGCCUACACCCGAUGUGCAAGUUCCCCACGUGAACUGGCUCAUCAUCAUGCCCAACUGUGGCUCACUGCUAGACACCCAGCUCAAGAUGGACCGAAGGUAUGUGUUGUCUUCCUCGGAUCUCAUCUUAUCAUGCCUGCAAGACUCAAGCUCUAGCACCAAACUCUCACAACGUGCACACUUAGCAAUAGUGCUAUCUGAACUGGCCUUCUCAAGAAUAGAGAUCUUGGCAUUCUUCUCUGCCAGCUCAGAUUGCAAGCCCGAGCAGGACUUGCACGCACCCAACAAGACAGGCCUAGCCUUCAGCUCACCAUACUCAUCAAGCAAAGUAGCAUACUUAGAUUGCAAUUCAGAGAAGUUAGACAUAUGAACAGCACACUCAUCGCACUCUACUUCAUCUGACACAACCACAGCACACUCCUUAGCAACCUCAAGCUCCUUAAGCGCCAACUCUAGCUUGUCCUUAAACUCUUUCCUCUCACGAGCAGCACGCUUAAGCAAUUUAUCUUGACUAAUCAAGGUGAUAUUCAUGUUGUCAAGCUCAGCGACAAGGUCAUCGAUAGGAGGUACCUCGGAGGUGUCGUCGUCGAAGGAGACCUCAUCCUUGCUGGCCUUCACCUCUUCAUCAAUCGCCAUGGUGCAGAAGCCUCCGUGAGUGGAGUCGGCGACGAAGCAAAGACCGGUCAGCUUCUCCUCCAUCUUCCUCUCGGACUCAUCGUCACUCGAGGGAGAAGAGGAGCGGUCAUCGCCAGAGUCGUUGUCGAGGUCGCUGAGGGAAGCAAGGAAGGCACGCUCUUGCGCCUUGGCUUUCUUGCGGUACAUCUUCUUGAGAGCCUCCUUGUCGAAGCCCUUCUUUGACUUGUACUUCUUGGAGGUGUAGUCGCGCUUGUCCUUGUGCUUGCCAGAGUCGUACUUGUCGGAGGAGUGCUUGUUCUUCUUGGGGCAGUGGGCGACGAACCAGAUCUCCACAGUUGUAGCAGCCCACCUUUUGAUCACCACCCCGGCGGCGGUUCAAGCGGUUGUUGUGGAACCGCGAGAACCGGCUGAUGAUCAACGCUAGCUCGUCAUCCCCAAGGGUCUCCAACUGCUCCUCUGAAACAGACACCAAAGAAGACAAGGCAAACGACAUCUGUGAAGGGUUAGCUGAAGAACUUGAACUGUUACCUGAGACUAAAGCCAUAGUCGGUGCAGAGGGAUUCUUGAGCUUGGCUUGAGUCUGGUAGUCGAUCUCGGUGGACUUGAGCUUGCUGAACAGCUCGUCCACAGUGAUGGUGUCGUAGUUCGAAGACUCAAUGAUGGCGGACACCUUCACAUCCCAUACCUUCCGAUCUAGGGCAUAUAGAAGCUUGAGAGCCCUCUCAUGAUCGUCAUAAGGUAGCUGUGCCUUGUUUGCUCGCAUCUUGUUAAUAAUUGUCUGAAAACGAGAAAACAUGACAUCGAUGGACUCGCCAUCAAGCUGAGUGAAGUUCUCGUACUCUCUCUUGUACGUCUCAUAGAGUCUGGUUUUGACAUGGGCUGUACCCUCGUGAUAGCUCUGAAGCCUCACCCAGAUCUCUUGAGCAGUAGCACAAUCAGAGACACACUCGAACUCAGGAAGCGAAAGACUCGAGAAAAGAACAGAUCUUGCUCUGCUAUUUGCGUUGUGCCGAUCUUUUUGAUCUUGCGUGGUUCGAGCACGGGGUUCAAGCACAACGAAAGUAGCAUCCUCGCAAAUUUCCCAAACUAGCCAAUCAAUCCCCUGGAGAUGGGCAGACAUGUGUAUUUUCCAAUAGAGAUAAUUUGUUCCAUCGAAGAACGGUGGUUUACCGGAACCACGCUCCAUGUCGCCUUCGUGGAUCACGGACCGAUUAAGGUGGAAUGAUCCUUAACCGGCUCUGAUACCAAUUGAAGGACCGAAAACGGCGACCAGAGGGGGGGUGAAUGGGAGCCUCAAAUUUUCUCUCGAAUAUAUUGGGCCACUGUCCCGAGUUCACCUCCAAACAUGCAACAACUCCAAAUCUAGAAUACUCACGUCAACUGGUGACGGAAGUACCUAGAGAAAUUCCUUAGAGCUAUAAAAACUCAAUGCAACAGACGACUUGCAAAUCGGAGUCCAAACGACCGAGCCAGACGAAAAACAAGAAAUCGAGGCUAGAAAAAUAAACAGAAAAUCCCCUGAAAAUAUUUAUCACUGUGAAAUAACGAACAAAGAUGGAGAAGCUGCUCUCCACUCUGCCCAGCAGCAACAAUCUGUCCAAACCUGAGCCGGUUGAUUUACUGUGCCUGACUGCUUGACAAUCGAGCAGAGAUUUCCCUAUUCGUUGGACCUGUUUCUUGCAAACAGCAAACUGAAAAAGAAAACCGGCAGCUCAAACUCAAUUCCAGAAACACAAAGGCACUAAACAAGUACAGAACCUGGACUUGCACGGCCAGAAGCAAGCACUGGUUGAAGCAAAUUACUAAUGAGCUUUAAAGCCUUCUGCCCAAACCGUGAUCAAGGAAUAGCUUUGAGAGAGAAUUAAAAAAAUCCAACCACUAUUGCUUGAUUGCGACAUCUCCAAAAGCUUCAAGAUCAAUUCACGAGAACUACAGAGAAAUUGGAAACAAGAAAGGAACUGGACAUUUCCUGCAGACUUGAGUCAAUUUGCAAAGCAAAUACGCAAGCGCUCAGCUGAUGGAUUUCCAACUACCAGUCAGCACUCGUUGCAAUCGGUGCCCAGCACCAGUCCUCCUGAAAGCAAGCCUGAGUACGAACACCAGAGAGAAAAAGAGAUCAACGAACAAGGACUGAGCACGGGUCUGCACGUGCUUGAUGCCUGGCCGAACUCCCGCUCGGAGCUAGGAUACUGAGAGCGCACGACGCAGGCCAACAGCGAGCACUGCUCAACCGAGCACGCACGAUGCUAGAGCACCUGCGAAGUGCUGCCUUCAGCCCUUCACCCAUCGGACACAGGAUAAACUUCACGAACAGGUAAAAAACAGGCGCCCACAAAAUCGAAUGGAUCUCACUCGAAUCGAAAGCUCUUGAGCUCAGAUUUUGCACAGAUGUAACUCAACUCAGCACGAAGCUAUUCCCAAAAAUUCAUCACUUGAAAUCAACCCAAACUCUGGGAAAAACAUAUCGAAGGUAAGCACGAAAAAUGGAGGAAUAAACUCAAGAACUCAGCACGGUGUCAAAUAAAAAUCACAGCAAUAAUUGUAGAAUCUCGGAGGACAAAAGGAGGAUAUGGGCCUCCUUUUCCAUCUCAAAAAUUCUCAGAAAAAUACACCACGAAUUUCAGUUCAUGGGGACCUCUAGAACACUAACCCUAGGUGGAGGAGGAGGAAUGAAGGAGUGGGAGAGAGGUAGGAGAGUUGGGGAACUCUCGCGGCUUAUUUAUCAGGCAUAUUGCAUAUUCCCUAAAAGCCUCUAGAUAUUUGAGCGAACUAGCUAGCCUCAGGGGCAUUCUAGUCCAACUCGACAUGACCUAAAUCCGACGGCCACCGCGCCUCCUCACCGGUAGCCUCGCUCCGAAGCGAUCUCACCGAUGCCGCCACGUGUCGUUCGUCCGCAUCAGGACCUCCGCCCGGGUUUUGAGGCCCAAACCCGCGAAACCGGCCGCGAGUAGCGUACUCCAUACGCUUCCCCGCCACUCGACACGUGUCACCGCCGUCCUCGACUGGCCGGCCCGCUAAGUCCUCCUGAGCCUCGCUUGACUCGCGUCCGCCGUCUUGACUUGGUUAACACGGUCACUCUCAUGUACACUUGCACUUGUCGAUGUCCCAGAUGUCAGCCACUACGGCUGGUCACCCGGCCUCCUGGUCCGUCAGUCCAAGCCUCAUAUCCGUCCUUCGCCGCUCAGGUCCAUCAGCACGGCACGUCUCUACUUGACCUUCACCUCGCCGUCGACCACCGCCUCCGAGCUCCACGGUUGAACACCAUAAGCCAAGAGACAUGUCGCACACAUAGUUUUCGCCAUGGUAAUGUUAGUCACAAACUCAACCUAUUUAUGGAUCACGUUGACAAUCACUCAUCACAAAACGAACCACAAGGGUACUUGUCAACCUUGUGUUCGCAGUGGGUUAGUGCGGAACUUGGCAGGCAGCAUGCAUGUCAUCACAGGCCAGGCUUCGAUACGAUGCCAUUGCAAGAUCGGUUCUUCUGCUCGCUGUGAUGACGUACAAAUUAAUGGUGACACACGCGAGAGCACUCCGGCCAACGCCACUCACCAUGGAUAAUUGUUACUAAUUCUUUUUGGAUGAUCUUAUCCUUGUACUGAAGAUGACAAGUUAAUUAAAUCCAAAAUAAAGCGCAUAUAUCUUCACAACACGAGCUAAAGCUUUGAACAUGGUCCUUUCUUUUUUUUUUUUACAGCUAGCUGGAGCAUGGUCCCCUUCUUUUUUACAGCUGGAGCAAGGAGCAUGGUCUUUUGAUAUCUUAAAAAAAAAGGAGAUGAAAAAGAAAAGGAUACCAUCUACACUAGCUGAGUCAUACAUGACCAGGAUCAACAUGGGAGCGGAUUGGAAAGUGUCAUAUUCUGACUACAGUGAAUUUCUUACAUCCUAAAGAAAGAGAAAAAGGGAAAGCACUAGUGUUAAAAGCAAAGAUGCUGCUUGCAUAGGAUGGAUCGGAGUCUUCAACCCGAUCGGAUGAUCCGCAGAUCACAAUUUACAAAGGACCGGUCGUUGUUUUUGUUUUUGUUUUGUUCUGUUUUCAUAAGAGAGAACAUGGUAGUUUAAAUCAUCCGAGUCAUCAUGAUCUAAGAAUGAGUCGCCAAUCUUGCUUUUUGAGGUUUUACCCUGACCGGAUGCUACUUUUUCUUUACUUCUGCCUUGAGAUCAGGGCUUCCCCAACACUCUAGCAUGGAGUACUGCCUCGAAGCCCACGCCAGAACUAAUCCUUGUUUAGCCUCGCUGCGCGUUAAUAUCUCUUAUAGAAGAUAUAUAAGCUUCACCUAACAAAAGUAUAACAAGCAACGGUUCAAAGCGUGUUGGGCUACAGUCCGAAGCAGGUUAGUCAUAGCUAGGAUGGUGGCUUGCUCUGCAAAAAACAGAAAAAGCUAAAGAAGAAAGAGGGACGUCAAUAUGGUUCCAGGAGUUUGCGUUGAGCACUUGUGAGCCCUAGACUCUUCAUGUCUACGUGUACUUCGACAUUUUCUUUAGGCUAACAAACUUGUUAGUAGCUUCAUUUGACUGUCAAGAUUAGCCUUUUUACGAUUUGAAGGUGCUGCUGCCUAGCUGCUAAACUGGAUGAUCAAAUAGUCCAUACUAAUUACACGGAUUUUAUUUAUGUAAUUGUGUAGGAUUACGUUCUAAUACGGAACUAUUUUUCCAAGCAAUACAAGAAGUCAAGAAGUGUUUUAGAACAUAGGGGGGUUGCUUUCUCAAAGAUUAUUCACAUUUGCUGAGCUACUCCAGCACAUCUUCUACACUGUGUCUUAUGUUGGUUUAGAAGAUCUCCCUAAUUAAACCAUUUUUGCAUAAAAAUUAAAGAGAGAACUAUUGCAGCCGACUACCUAAAACUUCCCCUGUAUUUAUUCAUUUCCAUACGCUUUCGCAUACACAUCCAUUCUAAAUUCCACUUCAACACCAUAGUAAUUCAAACUUUUAUGAUCCUAUACUACACGCAAUUGUACAACACUUGAAGUCUUCAAAUCCAAGAACGACAUAAGUCCAAAUUUGUAAAUAAAAAAAAGGUAUUGUUAAUAGGUAGAGCAUAAAUUGGUGAGAGUAGAAGAAAUCAUCUCAUGUCAUUUUGAGCUAUAAUUAUCUUUGUAAAAAGUCUACACGUUCUUGAAUUAUGGGUCCCAAAAAUCAAGACACGUUAUAGGAUUUGUAGGGCAUGUUAACGCUCAAGCAAAAUGACUUAUACUCAUCAAAGGUACUAGUGAACAGUGAUAAACAAUGCGGUACCAUUGUAAUGUCAAAUGUGCUAUAUUGACCUUUCUUUUUGCACAGCAAAUUUUGAAUGCUACAAAAUCUUUCAUUGUGGGACAAAUCAUUUUUGGGUUAACGAUUCACUUCAGUAACAAUUAAUAAUUAGCAAUCAAACAUACCAAUAGCAACAGGUGUGCCGGUCACAGAGCAGCUGCAAUCAAGAGAUUAAAUCCAUCCAAGAACUGACCAAAGCAAUCAGGUGAUUGUUGAUCUAUGGCAGGCACAUAGAACUACUGUCUUGUGCAUGGCUAAUUACACACAGACGAAAUAACUUGUACAUAUACAAGAACUGACGAACCUACAGCUAGAUAGCUAAUCAUCGAAAAUUAGCCCUGGACUCAAAUCUCUCAGUGAGGAACCAUACACUAAGCCACACUAAUAUCAUGACUACAGUUAUUUACACAGAAGAAGCAGAAUCCUGGUUCUAGAAUCCUAGCUACGAACAAGCCAUGGCCGCCGCCGGAGAUGACGAGGCACCGCAGUCGUCGAAGUUCUGGGAGUAGCUGUGCAGGUCGUACCCGAACCUCACCGCGCUUCGCCUCGGCCGCGCCGCGCUCCGGCCGAAGCUGGACCUCAGCCUCCUCAACAGCCGCCUCACCGGCGCCGCCGUGCCACUGUCGCGGCUCGUCCUCCUCUGGCCGCCGCCGCUGCCAUACAGGGUGAGCAGAUACGCCAUAGUUGCUCUCGAUCUCUUUCUCUAUCUCUCGGCCACGCUGUAGCGCUACAGUGCAGUUGUUCUUGCUGUCUUCUGAAGGAUGAAGUGUGAAGACCCUGCCCCCAGCGAAACCACCCAGCUGCAGGUUUUAUAGGCUCAGGCCGGCCUUGGACUCUUGGAGACACUCUCGCCGGCCGGUCGAUCGGGCCAGCCAGCACUAGCGUCGUUGCUCCUACCGAGCCACGAUCACGACGUGGCCACGUAGGUGACGAUGACAUCCACUAGAAAUGCCAAUUUCAGGUGCCUUUUCCUGCCGUCCUGCGUAGUCAUCCUGCGCCCAAAAGGAAGUAACUAUCACCAACCGAACAAUAAAUUAAGAUUACUUAUGUUUGUGUACUCUCUAACUCUUUUUAUCAUUUUCAACACAAUACUCAUAUAUGCAAUAUGUCUAGUUAUUGUGAACUUACCAAUUACUCUUUUUUUUCCAUGCACAUAUAGUUUCUCUCUCUAUGCAUCACGCUUUAGAGGUCUACAAUGUAUUUAGUUUAGACUUAGGGUAUGUUUAUUUGGUUCAGCUUUAAAAGUGCUUAUGCUGCUAAAAAAUAAUAAUGUCAAUUAAAUGGGUGGGAUUUGAAGUUGCUUUUCUAAAAACAACUGCUUUUGCGACACCUUGGACUUUGUUUUUGGUUUUUGCCUUUCCGAUUUUCCAAAUGACUAGAAACAGAAAGACAAUGUUUCAAGGGAGAUAAAGAGAUGGGUCGGUUUUACAGUUGUUUGAACCAAACAUCUUACAGUUUUCCAUAGCACACGACUCAAAAGCAGCUUUUCCAAGUAAAUUGAAGCCAUCCAUUCCAACGGUUAGCUGACCAAAGCAAUCUGCUGAUUGUUGAUCAUGAUCUAUGGCGUGCAGGCAUAGAAUUGUUGUCCUUGCCCGUAGCUAAUUACACAGGCGUCUAUAUACAAUAACUGGAUGAACCAGCUAGAUAGGUAAUCAACAGAAAUUAACACUGAUCUUUCAAAGAAAACUGAAAUUAACACUGGACUCACUCAAUCUCCCAGUGAGAAAGGAAUGAGACACACUAAUAUGUUGGCCAUAGUUAAUUACACAGAAGAAGGAGAAUCCUGGUCCUCCUACACUCCUAGAGUCCUAGCUACGCACAACGGCACAAGCUGUGGCCACCGGGCUAGUCAGACAAUGCCGAAUCAAUGUUCCUAGUUAGUCAGACAAGCUGCUUUGUUCGUUUGAGCUUAUCAGCCGAAUCAGUCAGCCAUUCAGCAGUGUUUUUCUCUCAUAACAAAUCAGCCAAACGAACAAAGCCGCCAUCCUCUCUACAUCGCUAACGCACAGUCACAAGAUGCCCCCGGCCCCUUGGCCCCUUUGAUCGUCCGAGCUAUUUCUGGGUGUGCUGCAGCUCUGGCUUCUGAAGAUCUUGUGCAAAACAAAACCUCCCAUGCUGCGCUUUAUAAGGUCCUCCCAUGAUAUGGUGACGAUGCAAUCCACUAACGGUCCAACCAAAAUCCAGCUUCAUGUGCAUUUUCUGGUAGUAGGCUUGCUUUAGUGAUGGAUCGGAUGGCCAAGGGAACUGGCGACACACGGCGACGCCUAGUCACCUGAGCUGCUUCCUGAUGUCUGUCCUGCCAAUAGGGUCGGCGGCUUCCUGUCCCUGAUGUCCGUCCUGCCGCUAUAGGCACGGUGGCCGGCCUGCCAUGCACGCAUGUGCGGAGAGAGCUAGCUAGAUGGCCACCGGCGGUCCGCCGGCACCAUGGACAUGUUGAUGCACACGGUCCGGAGAUUUCACGUGCCUGUGCUCCCUUGACCUGGCGUGCCACGUAGGUAAAUAUGGUAAAAAUGAAAGAUGUGUGACUUAAAAGUGUUAAAAAUGUAAGCGUCAUUAUAAGAGUGGGAUUCUGAUAAGUGUCAUCCGUUAUAAUGGUAAAUAUGUAAAAUUCCCCUUGCAUUGCAUUGACGAAGAUGGUGACACAAGCGAGAGCACUCCAUGGCCACUCACCAUGGAUAACUGUAACAAAAUAUUUUUGGAUGAUCUUAUCCUUGUGCUGAAGAUGACAGGUUGAUUACACCCAAAGUAUACACAUAUCUCUCUUUGUCAAAAAAAAAAGUAUACACAUAUCUCCACAACACGAGCUAAAGCUCUGAACAUGGUCCCCUUCUUUUUUUUAACAGCUGGAGCAAGGAGCAUGGUCUUUUGAUAUCAUAAAAAAAAAGAGGUGAAAAAGAAAAGCAUACCAUCUAUACUAGCUGAGUCAUACAUGACCAGGAUCAACAUGGGAGCGGAUUGGAAAGUGUCAUGUUCUGACUACAGCGAAUUUCUAUUAAUUUCUACAUCCUAAAUAAAGAAAAAAAAAAGGGAAAGCACUAGUGUUAAAAGCAAAAAUCUCUAGAUGACAGGAAGCUGCUACUUGCAUGGGAUGGAUCGUAGUCUUCAGCAGCCCGAUCGGAUGAUGAUCAGCAGAUCACAACUACGAAAAGGCUGGCGAUUGUUGUUUUUAUUUUUUUAUUUUUUGUUUUGUUUUUGUAGGAGAUAUGGGUUGGUGGUAGUGGAGUGGCACUAUAUAUGAGAAUGUGGUCGUACAAAUCAUCCGAGUCAUCAUGGUCCAAGGAUGACUGGAUGAAUCACCAGCCUUGCUUUUGAGGUUUUGCAUGCCCUGACCGGAUGUUAUUAGUUUAAUUCCUUUCCUUCGCCUUGAGAUCAGUAGCUUUAUUUGGCUGGCAAGAUUAGGUUUUUGCAAUUUGAUGAUGUUGCCACUGCCUUCUAAAGUGGUCGAGAUCAAAUAGUCCAGGCUAAUUACACGGAUUUCUUGUAUAAGAAUCGUGUGAGAUUACAUUCCAACAAGAAACUGAUGUUCUCGAGAGGUCUCUCAAAAAUUAGGCACAGAGGAUCUGAAUUGUCUGUUACUCUAACCUCAUCUCAAAACACUCAUCUUUCCUCCUCUCCGUCAGCACCUGUCACCACCGUGCCCAAGCAUCUAGGGGCUAGGGCACAAUCUCAGUUUUGAUUCAGCUAUAGUUCGUCAACAAAUCAAUAAGGGCACUCACAAUGCAAGACUCUAUCACAGAAUCAAAGACACUUAAUUAUAUAUUAUUUAUGGUAUUUUGCUGAUGUGGCAGCAUAUUUAUUGAAGAAAGAGGUAGAAAAAAUAAGACUCCAAGUCUUAUUUAGACUCCAAGUCCAUAUUGUUCGAGGUAAUAAAUAACUUUAGACUCUAUCAUAAAGUCUGCAUUGUGAGUGCCCUAGUAGCGCUACUUCACUUAUUCUUUUCCCCCAUCGAAACCGCAAGAUCACUGAUUCAGUGUUCGAGUGGUCCUCCCUGCCUCGGCCACUUCAGUAACAGUAAUUAGCAAUCAAACAUACGCAUUAUAUUGCAAGAGGUGUGCCGGUCACCUGGAUAAAUCUAUAUAUCAGCAAUUUAGCAUAAAGAGUAGCUUAAAUCAACAGAUCAAAUCCAUCCAUAUUCCAACAGCUGACCAAAGCAAUCUAUAAAUCCCCUUGUGUGUUGAUCUAUGGCAGGCAUAGAACUGCUGUCUUGUGGGUAGCUUAUUACACAGACGAAACAACUUGUAUAUACAACAACUAACGAACCUACAGUAGAUAGCUAAUCACCGGAAAUUAACCCUGGACUCGGUCAAUCUCUCAGUGAGGAAGCAUUAAGCCACACUAAUAUCUUGGCUAUAGUUAUUUACACAUAAGAGAAGCAGAAUCCUGAUUGGCUGGUUCUAGAAUCCUAGCUACGCACAAGCCAUGGCCGCCGGAGCUGACGAGGCAACGCCGUCGUCGAAGUUCUGGGAGUAGCUGUGCAGGUCGUACCCGAACCUCACCGCGCUUCUUCGCCUUGGCCGCGCCGCGCUCCGGCCGAAGCUGGACCUCAGUCUCCUCAGCAGCCGCCUCACCGGCGCCGCCGUGCCACUACUGCGGCUCAUCCUCCUCCGGCCGCCGCUUCCGUACAGGCUAAGCAGAGACGCCAUCCUUGCUCUCUCUCUCUCUCUCUCUUUCUCUAUCUCACGCUGGAACAGUGCAGUUGUUCUCUUGUGAAGACUGAAGUGUGAAGACCCUGCCCCCAGCUUCAGGUUUUAUAGGCUCAUCAGGUCGGUCUUGGAGACACUCUCGCCGGCCGGUCGGUCCAGCCGGCACAAGCGUCGUUCCUCCUACCAACGGCCAGGGGCCCCGAUCACGGCGCGGCCACGUGGGUGACGAUGAUAUCCACUGGCUACGAGGCGAUCGUGGGAAAGCUGCCGGUUUUCAGGUGCCUUUUCCUGCAUCGUCAUCCUGCGCCCAAAAAAGAGGUAAUUACCAGUUUAUCACCAACCGCACAAGAUGCUUUUUCAACGGUAGCUGAAGCCGGGACUUGCAUUCAUAUGAGAAGUGAAGUGGCAGUGGCUCAUCUCUCUCUCGCCUCGCCUGUCAAGCGAAACUGGCAAUGCCUUGUCUAGGUCCAUCUAAAAACCUAAAAUUUUUCAAAAUUCUCUCUCGCAUCGAAUCUUUAGACGCAUGCAUGAAGUAUUAAAUAUAAAAAAAAUAAAAAUUAAUUACACAGUUUGGUUGAAAUUUAUGAGACGAAUUUUUUGAACCUAAUUAGUCUAUGAUUAGACAAUAAUUACCACAAACAAACGAAAGUACUACAAUGUCGUGAAAUUUUUCGCAUCAGGAACUAAACACACGGCCCAAGACCAAAGACGAACUACAGAGGGGGUCGGCGGCCUCGUGCACCCCCUUUUUGCGUAGUGCUGUGGUGGUAGGCUUGCUUUGCUGACCGAGCUAGCUAGCUACUAGGUAGAAUUAAUUCUUUUUAGAUGAUCGCAUCCGAUUACCGAAGAUGACAAGUUAAGAGCAAAAUCAACGCAGGACGAUCGUUGGUCUCACCUCAAAAGACGUACUCCACGUAGAUCCGUAUAAAUUGAGGCCGUAAAUUCUAGUAGAACGUAGAGCAUCUCAUCCUUUUUAGAUAAUGGAUAGUUUAUACCCGGCUUCAUCUAUCAAAAGAUAGAAUCAUGCCAAUUAUUACAAAGUUUGCCCGUAGGCCAGCACACAAACUAAAGAGAGCUCGCAAACCCGAACAACUGGAAGAACACAAAGGAAAAGUGCGCUAACUAAGAAGAGGCAAUAAAUCUAGUUGACAGCCAACCAUUGAAACUAAAGAAUUGCAAAGCUGACGUCUCAAGAAAUUGCCCAGCUGAAACAAGCUCAUUCCGCAUAGCUUCACACCGUUGCAAUUGUACCCAUUGUCGAAGCCAAUGGAUUCCCCUGAAGAGUAUCUUUGCCUGGAGUAGAGUCCAAGUUUUUGCGGGCUUUUAAUUUGGACGCCUUCUCAAGGGAGUCCUGACCUGAAGUCCUUGUACAUCUUUUGCUGGAUCUUAUUAGAGGCACUGUCCCACCAUUGAGCACAUUAGCCUUCCAAUGGCCAUUACCAUCUGUUGUUAAUCCACACUGGGAAAGCACAACUAUUGGUUUCUUGUUUGCUUGGACAACAGGUGGUACUGACUGUGCACCAAUUUCCUUGAUCUGAAGGGUCCCAGAGGCCGCACUCAUUUCCUUUUCGGCUGCAGCACUGUGCAUACCAGAAUCAGGUAGCUGUGCCUUCGGCACAUUAUCAUUUGUUGAUCCUUCCUUUUUACCAUCUUCAUCCAUUGGGUCCUCUUUUUUUUCCCCCUUUGGAUCAUCUUCAUCUAUGGUAGAGUCCAUAUCAAUGAUUUGAGGCUCACCAUCAGGCGUCUCAUCCUCGACACGAAAUUGUAGCUCAUAGACAUAAUCCCCAAUCACUAUAUCCACAAAAUUAGGGAUAAUAGUGGGAUCUAGCACGGCUACCUUCAUCCUUGCCCUGCCAUAUUUCUUAGUAAAUUUUGUGUCUACAGCUCGGAAAACACCUAGAAUGGAGCCAAUCGCCCAAAUGAUAGGGAAUUCCCGAAACUCCUUUGGUAGACCACGAAACUGAACCCAGACCUUGUCUAUUUCAUACUUAUUAUAUACAUCAUUCUCACCACCUUUCUCAAAACGAUUUUUUCCUUUCACUGUCUUUGUGUCCAUUGGGCCCCAGUUAACCACACAGUCCAAUAAAUUAGAGGAUGGGAAAUUAGUGACAAAAGCAUCAGUGCCUCUUUCUUCAAUUUCCCACUUGUGCUUGCCAGGUAGUAGUUUUUCAAGUUCCACUGUCAAUUGAUCAGCAGUAAGGGAACUCUCUAAAACACGUACCACGGCUGAUUUUUCCUCUAAAUUUGUUUUGGGGUUUUCAGCGACAGGAAUAAAAUAGAAGCCCAAGCCUUCAACCGCGUAACCAUAAGGAAAAGCAGUAUUAUGCAUUUUCUUCAUAUUUGGACAGACUUUAGUGACAUGAUCUCCAAAACAAAUCUCACAACACAAAGGCACAAUGCACACUGACAUUGUAUGUCCUUUAGUAUGGCAACGAUAGCAGAAUGUCUUACCCUUUUUUUGAGUCCCAUGUUGUGAAGUUUCAGGCACAUCACCUAUGAUAGUACUCGGUGGAACAGUGCUCUUUGAAUGUUCAGGUACUGCUGUCAACGUUUCCUUCGGAGUUGAUGCCGCCACUUGCAGGACAUUUCCCAUGGCAGAUGACCCGCCUGCCGUGCCAUGAGCCCAUGAGUGAACUGUCCUGCCAGCGCCAACUCCUCCUUGCGCCCUGCCUCGUUGGCGUUUGCUUGCUGCCCACCAGCGGAGUGAUUGGCAACUCCUCCCGCGGAGCCAACGUCGCUGGAUGUUGCUUCACCCACGUUGGUGGUCGCCGACGCCGUGUGUCCGCCCGCCUGGUACUGGAGCCGAUGGCCAGGGCCGUCUCUAUAAUUUUAAGGGCCCUUGUGCAAGCAAAAGAAUAAGGGCCCAUCAAAUAUUUUUUGAUAUGUCAAAUAUAUAAAAAGAAUUAAUUUGCACUAUAUGUUUUAGUUUAUAAAAGGUAAUUAUAGUACAACAAAUAAAUAAGUAGAAUAGAAUUAGAAAUUUAGAACCCUAUCACUGAAUACUAAUAACAAAAUUGGUGAAGUCUCGAUCAGCUAUGCUCUUGCUCUUCCUGCUCUAGUGUCUAGUAGUGACAUCGUGUGCAGACGUGUGGUGUUAGCGUGUCAUAGAGCCACAUCGUUCCAUUGGACGAUUGGGCAAUAGGACGAAAAGAUGAUAAAGUGGAACAUUGAUCAGCUCAACUAAUCGAUCAAGCGAGAAUAUGAAGCAACACCAACAAUAGGUGGAUGUGGAUGGCGUGUUGAUUAAUGGAUUUCAUUUUUAGAUUAAUUGAUGGAUUUCUAUAGUGUCUGUAUAAGCCUCUAAAAAAAUUAGACAAAUCUAUAUACUAAAUAUUAUAUAUUAUACAUAUAGGCCCCUUAGCUCCGUAGGCCCCCGGCCGUCGCAUCGGCUGCCCACCCCCUAGAGACGGCCCUGCCGAUGGCCAUGAGCACUUCGCCCUGUUGCGGUUUGGGGAAAGUGAUUCCCAUAGUUCUGCCAGUUGCCGUGGCCGCGCCCGCUGCCAAAUCCUCCCUGAGAACGCGCACCCCGCCUGAAGUCCUGAUUGCCUCCGUUGUAUGCGAAUCCGCCAUGGCUUGCCUGACCACGGCCACGACCGCGCAGUGGAUGGCCGCAAUUCUCUCCUCAAAUGUCGCUUUCAAAGAAAAUGCAUUUUCUCUCCUUUGUGACGAAGCUAAUAAUGCCUUUUCUGAUGAGGCUUUGGGUUGCUCUGCGAGUGCUCUGAGAGACUUCGUCGAAGCCUCUAUCCCGCUAUCUCUCUCUUCCGGAUAUAUAGCAUCCGAGUGUACGUGUGUCUCCGUAGGGAUAUUGUAUAGGCUGGUACGUACGUUGGAGUCAUCCUAAUUAAAUCCAAAAAGUACGGGACAUACUAUAUCUUAGGUGUUUGAAAUGUAGACUAUUCAGACGAAGGGCAUCAACCAUCAGAUCGGCAUCAAACUGUGCUCCUUGUGCCACCUGAACAGAACAUAGAUUUCAGACGACUGAAAUAUAGGGAAUGUGAAAAAGUAUAUAUCUCCACAACACGAGCUAAAGCUUUGAACACGGUCCCUUCUUUUUUUUUUUUACAACUGGACCUUUGAUAUCUUCCCAAAAAAAGAAAGGGGGGGAGGAGGGGCAGGGGAGGAAAGGAUACCAUCGAGCUGAGUCAGAGGAUCAGUAUGGGAUCGAGUGGAUUAGAAAGUGUAAUCUACUGUCCACAGCGAAUUUCUACAUCCUAAAGAAAGAGCAAAAGGGAAAGCACUAGUGUGAAAAGCAAAAUAUCUCUAGAUGACAUGAAGCUGCUGUUUGCAUGGGAUGGAUCGUAGUCUUCAGCCCGAUCGGAUGAUCGAUCGGCAGAUCGCAAUUACUCCUACUACAAAGGACCGGUAGUUGUUUUUGUUUUGUUUUGUUUUGGUAAUCAAGAUGGGUUGGUGGUGGUGGAGUGGCACUAUAUAUGAGAAAGUGGUAGUACAAAUCAUCCGAGUCAUCAUGGUCCAAGGAUGAGUCACCACGCUUGCUUUUGAGGUUUUGCCCUGACCAAAACCGGAUCCUAGUUUUUCUUUCCUUUGCAUUGAGAUCAGUAGCUUUUUUUGGCUGGGAAGAGUAGCUUUUUCCGAUUUUGAUGGUGCUGCUGCCUGCUAAUAAUAAAGCGGUCGUCGUUGAUCAAAUAGUCCGGGUUAGGAUGUCUUUUAUGGAAUCCUUUUGCAUUACACUACAAUAUUAGGAACUACUUUUCCAAGCAAUACACAAGAAGUGAUUUGGAACAUAGGGGAUCACUUUCUCAAAAAUUCACAUUUUUGCUGAGCAACUCGUCUUUCUACACUAUGUCUCAAUGUCUCGUGGUGGUUUUGAAGAUUCCCCUAAUAAUAAUUAUUGGAACCAUUUUAGAUAUAUAUUGCUGUCGAUUACCUAAUAAAACUUCUCUGCUAUAUUUCAUUUCCUUCCAUUUAUAUUCCCUUUUGCAUACACAUCCAGUCUAAAAUCCACUACAUCAACACCAUAGUAAUACAAGUUCGUAUUGUUCAUUAACUUGCUCAAAGGAUCAGAUCGGAGCUGGUAUGGAGUAUACGACCGGUCAGGGAGAGGGUGAUUUUUCUUUAUUUAGGAGAGAAGUUGAUGUUCUUAAUUAUAUUAGAAGAUCUCUUAAAAAUAUAUAGGAACAGGAGAUCUGAUGGAGCAGCUCUAUCUCUUGUAUUGCUAUUAUUUUUUAGCAAUGCACUCAUCUCAAUUCUCAUGCAGCUAUAGUUCUCGUCAACAAUCAAUAGCACUCCUUCAAUUAAUUUUGUUUCCCAAUUAUUAAACCGCAACAACAUCGCUGUUCGAGUGGCCCUCUCUGGCUCAAACUUCUAACGAAGAAAAAAUAACAGAUCAUUUUUUGGGUUGCCGAUUCACUUCGUAACAAUGAUUAGCAAUCAAACAUACCCUCCACAAGUUCACAACAGGUAUGCAGGCCAUCUCGAAUUCUCGAUCGAUAUAAGUCAGCGUACAGAGCAGCUAAAAUCAACAGAUUAAAGCCAUCCAUUCCAACAGCUGAUCAAAGCAAUACGCUGAUUGUUGACCUAUGGCAGGCAUAGGUAAUUACUGUCUUCUUCAUAGAUAAUUACACAGACGAAGUGACUUCUAUAUACAAUAACCGGGUGAAUCAGCUCAAUCGAUAGCUAAUCACCGGAAGUUAACACUGAACUCAAUCUCUCAGUGAGAAAGCACUAAGCCACACUAAUAUCCUGGCCACAGUUAAUCAGUUAUCAAACAGAAGAAGCAGAUCGAAUCCUGGUCCCUAGACUCCUAGAGAGUCCCAAGCUAAGCUAGCAGCUACGCACAGGCCAUGGCCGCCGGAGCUGACGAGGCAACGCCGUCGUCGAAGUUCUGGGAGUAGCUGUGCAGGUCGUACCCGAACCUCACCGCGCUUCGCCUCGGCCGCGCCGUGCUCCGCCUGAAGCUGGACCUCAGCCUCCUCAACAACCGCCUCACCGGCGCCGACGACUGCUGCCUCCGCCGACCGCCGCUGCCGUACAGGCUGAGCAGAGACGCCAUCGUUGCUCUCUCGCUUUCUCUAUUUCACGCUGUAGCUCUACAAUGCAGUUGUUCUUGUUGCUUUGUCUUGUGAAAGGCUGAAGUGUGAAGAGUGAAGACCCUGCCCCUAGCGAAACCACCCAGCUGCAGGUUUUAUAGGAUUAAUCAGGAUCAGGUCAGGUCGGCUGGGCACAUUGCUUGUAGACACGCCCGGCGGCCAGCCGGACCUGCCAGCACUAGCGUCGUUCCUGCUACCAACGGUCACGACGUGGGUGACGACGACAUCCACACUACGACGAGGCGAUCGUGGGAAUGCUCCGGGCAAAUGCCGAUUUCAGGUGCCUUUUUCCUGCGUCGUCAUUGUGCGCCCAAAAACAGGUAACUAUCACCAACCGCACGACGCCUUGUCGGCUUUUUUUCUCUCGCAAUAAAUUAAUGGAUAGUAUUUACUGCUAUGAUUUUUUAAAUCAGUGAACGACUCUUCGUCCGUAGCUCGCUGAAGCCGGUUGCAUACCUGCAUUGAUAUGGAGUGGCAGUGGCGGUUUGGAGACGCAUUCCCGAGCAUGCUCUCGCGUUUCAGCUUUGUGUGACGACUGGGGAGAGCAAAAACACCACAGAGUGCAGUGGAGUGCAGGAUCGAUCACGCUGAGCCAAGGUGUACGGUCGCAGAGCAAAAGCACGGUGGAAGGACCGUUCCGUCGACCGACCGGCAUCCUCUCUCUCGCGUCCGUCGGCUGCCAGCUGACUCUGGUCGACACGAACACGAAUACACGAUGGUGCCUCCGUGAGUGAUGAGUCAUCGGACCCAUCGGCGAUCGACACGUCUCAGGACGGCCGCUGGUGGUCGUGUAAUACAGGACUAGUGGCGGUUCGGCAAAGGGUGCGCGUGCGGAGACCGAUGAUGAUCCGAUCGAGUUAUUCUUGGUAUAUAUGUUCUUGUCCAAAAAGAACCGGCCAACCCAGCACGGUCUAGAAACAGAGUGGAGCAGGUGGCUAGCGUAAAUCCUGCACGCCUCUGCUCGUCGGAAACAUUCCACUGGUGCAAGCUAGGAGUAUUCUUCAGCUUGAACCGAGAACAUACGCUGAUCUAUAAACAACCCAGCCGAGACACCAUUUCUGUUGUUAUUAUGGCCUUGUUUGGUUCUUAUCUUAAAAACUUUUUGUUCUAUCCAUUGAAUAUUUAAACACAAAUAUUAAAUGUAGAUAAAAUAAAAAAACUAAUUACAUAGGUUAAUUAGAUUUUGCGAGACAAAUCAUUAAAUCAUAAUUAAUUCAUAAUUAGAUACUAAUUGCUAUAAUAAUACAUGUGCUAAUGACAGAUUAAUUAGACUUGAUAAAUUAGGGCCUUGUUUAGUUUCCAAAAUAUUUUGUAAAAUUUUUUAGAUUUUUCAUCACAUUGAAUCUUUCAACACAUGCAUGGAGCACUAAAUAUAGAUAAAAGAAAUAACUAAUUACACAGUUUACCUGUAAUUUAUGAGACGAAUCUUUUGAGCCUAAUUAGUCUAUGAUUGGCCAAUAUUUGUCAUAUACAAACGAAAGUGCUGCUAUUUCUAUUUUGCAAAAAAUUUUGGAACUAAACAAGGCCUUAUAUCGCGGUUUCCUGACGGAUAUGUAAUUUGAUUUUCUAUUAGGCCUUGUUUAGUUCCAAAAAAAUUUCCAAAAUUUUUUCAGAUUCCCCGUCACAUCGAAUCUUUAGACGCAUGCAUGAAGUAUUAAAUAUAGACGAAAAUAAAAACUAAUUACACAGUUUGGUCGGAAUUGACGAGACGAAUCUUUUAAGCCUAGUUAGUCCAUGAUUAGACAAUUUGUCAAAUACAAACGAAAGUGCUACAGUGUCGAUUUCCUAUAAUUUUUUGGAACUAAACAAGGCCUUAGUAUCAAAACACCACAUGCGAUACCUCAUUGUGACAUUUGAUGUGACCACUGGCGGAGCCACCGCCCGGCCACCCCGAGCGGCUGGCCGGGCUCGUCGCGGACGUUUAAAAGGAAAAUUUCUUUAUAUCAAAGUAGAACUCUAUAAUUUUGUAGCUAAAUAUUUUGCUUAAUAAAAAUUGUCCGGGCUCAUGAAAGCGUCUAGCUCCGCUAAUGGAUGUGACACCCAAAAAAUUUUCGACUUAUGUCCAUGUGCAGCUUCAAACCGCCCCUAUCUUUACUACAGUGCGUACUUUGAAUUAGAGAAUUCUUUUGGGAGCCUCCACAUCGAUCAUGUAUUUUAGAGCAAGUACAGUGGAAGUGGAAGUGCUUAUUGAAACCAUAUCAUUUGAACUUGGUGCUUAAAAAAGAUACUCCAUCCAUCAAACUAUAAUUCAUUUUAGCUUUUCUUGAUAUUAAACUUCUCUAACUUUAACUAUAGUAAGUUACACCAACAUCUAUAAUAAUAUCAAAUAUGUUUCACUACAUUUGUCAUGAAAUGUGUAUCAAAAUUGCAUUUAUUUGAAUUUUAUAGAUAUUAAUAUAUACUCCCUCCGUCCCAAAAAGAGUAUCGUUUUUUAUUUUUAGACAUCUUAUUUGACCAUUCGUCUUAUCAAAUUUUCUAUAUAAAUAUUAUCUAUUUUGUUACAAGUUAUUUUAUCAUUAAGUAUACUUUAAUAAUUAUUUUUUUUAUAAUUUAUAAUUUUUUUGAAUAAGACGAAUAAUUAAACACGAUGUCUGAAAGUAAAAAAUGUCACUCUUUUUUUAUGAAAGUAUGUCUUUGAGGACUUAGUCAAAACUAGAGAAAUUGAGUCAUGCAAAAGGUAAAGAGAACUACGAUUUGAAGCAAAGGGGAAGAUGAGACUUAGAAACCAUCACGUUAAAUAAGAUGGGAAAAAACAUAAUCACCCACCACUGUCACUACAGAAAACUUAACCCAAAAUAUGAUAUACUACAAUUUCCCACCAUUGUCCAUUGCACACUAUAAGAAGAUUAAUAAAAUACCGUUUGGUGCCGCUAUGGAAAUUAAGAGAAAUGCUCCUAUGCAUGCUUCAGACAUGUAGAAUAAAACACACAACUCAUGUUUAUAAAGGCACAAGUUACCGUGUACUGCAUAUGAGUGCAAAAUAGUACCCAGUGAGACAUUUAUUCUGACAAGUCAUAUAUCCCUCAACAUAUAUAUAUAUAUAUAUAUAUAUUCUUAUAAAGCUAAACCCCACUAGAUGAAUUCUCUCUUCAUACAAAGUGUCUACAUUAUUCCCCACUAAGUUCUGUCAUCUCAUAUUAAUUACUAAAAAUAACCAUGUCAUCUAUAUCAUAUGAAAUACUUUAAAUCUUUAAUAUACUAACAUACAAGUCAUGUACAUACCUCUAUAAUGUAACCAAAUAUUAAUUUUUCUUCUAUUAACUUAGCAGUUUUUUACUAGAUCUAUACAAUAAAAUACGUGCAAAUCAAAUUUAUAUACAUGUAUACAUAGGUCUUGUUUACUUCCACCCAAAAUCCAAAAUUUUUUCAAGAUUCCCCAUCACAUCGAAUCUUUAGACGCAUGCAUGGAGUAUUAAAUAUAAACGAAAAUAAAAACUAAUUGCACAGUUUGGUCGAAAUUUACGAGAUGAAUCUUUUGAGCCUAGUUAGUCUAUGAUUGAACAAUAAUUACCACAAACAAAUGAAAGUGCUACUGUGUUGCAAAAUUUUUUUGGAAAGGAACUAAACAAGGCCAUAUAUAAUAUACUGAACACCAUAUAUAAUUCUAUAUAUAUAUAUAAUAAUUUAUUUUUAAGAAAAUCGUAUAGCAACGCGCGGGAAAUUGACCUAGUUCUUCUUGUUUUAAUGCCAAGCCAUUCAAGCAAAUAUGUGAGACAAAAUGCUCCAAAAAUGCAAGUUUCACGCACUUUUGAUUCGAGACGUGUCAUCACAUGUUCAGAAUUUGCCCCGAGCACCCUUCUCUUCCGCACCUCCAUCGAGAUCCAUGAUCUUUUUUUUGAGCAAAACACCCAUGUUUUGCUCUCCGUCACAUGGUUGAUGGUUGUCUGGAAAUUAUUAGCAUGAUGGGCCUCACAGUUUCUCUUUCACGGCCCUCUUUCCAAAGUCCAGGCCCAACUAACACACUUCUCUCUUCUCUUCCUAUAAGGCAUCGACCAGCGCAAACCCUAGCCGACCUCUUCUCCUCGCGCCGCCGCCGCCGGAGCCGUCGCCAUGUCGAAGCGCGGUACGUACGCCCCGGUCCUCCAUUCUCUCCCGACGAUCGGACUCGUUCGUCUGUUGCUCCUCUCGCUUACUGGCUAACUCGGCCGGCUUUUACAUCGAAAUGGAUGAACUGCCGCAGGGAGGGGAGGGACGGCGGGGAACAAGUUCCGCAUGUCGCUGGGUCUGCCCGUGGCGGCGACCGUGAACUGCGCGGACAACACGGGCGCCAAGAACCUCUACAUCAUCUCCGUCAAGGGCAUCAAGGGCAGGCUCAACCGCCUGCCGUCCGCCUGCGUCGGCGACAUGGUCAUGGCCACCGUGAAGAAGGGUAAGCCCGACCUCAGGAAGAAGGUCAUGCCCGCCGUCAUCGUCCGCCAGCGCAAGCCGUGGCGCCGCAAGGACGGAGUCUACAUGUACUUCGAAGGUAACUCUCGCCGCUUUUCCUAGUCCUGCAACGCUCGAGCUCGACGUGCCCAACCCGAUCCGUUGUGAUGUCUUAGCUUUAUGCUUCGCUGGCGUGUCACCUCGCUGUUGUUUGUGUUGAUGUUGCUUGUAGCGUCUUGCGUUGGCUGACACUGACAAUGUACUUAAAUCUCACCCUUAAUCCUAUAUAGAAUGUGUUGCUGCAAUGCAAACCUUAUCUUCUAUCCCAGUUUUCCAUCAGUAACAGUAGUGAAAUUCAGUUUGGUUGGUGGAUUCGCCCAUGAUUCUUUGGCAAGCUAGCUUGAUAGGGAUUUUAACUCUUAAAGUAUGUUUUUUUCCUUUUACUAGCUGUUCACAAUUAUCUUGCCAAUCUGAAUAAUUCAGUUCAUCUUUUCCCCCCAAACAUCAUAUAUACAAAACAGUUUCCUAUAACCAAAUAUGUUUCCUUAUUUCAGUUUGCCACACAUGUAGCCUUACCUAUAUGUCUUAUUCCAUUCAUUUUUCUUCUUUUAUUUUCUAUUAGGCAUCUAAUUCUUGAUCUCUUUUUUUCAUGUCUUUUAGUUGCAGGGACUUCAUUGCUUGUUUUUUAAAUUUUUAGUUUUAUAGUAUAUGUAUUGAAACACAAUCACUGACGGAAGGACUGUUAGGUUCUUUAGCUUUAUAUGGAGCAAACUUGCCAUGUUUGCAUAUUCCUAAGCAAAACGUCAUAAAAGAAGCUUCUUUGGUGUUGAGGAUUUCUUCACAAGGAUUUCUCCAUCUAGAAGCGGUCUCAUAUUCCAUUGCCCUAGGUAGCGGCGUUGCUGCCAUGAAACUUUGGGACUGGCCAUGAGACAUAUAUUUCUUAUAUGUUCCAUUAGAUGAUGCUUCCUUCAUUGGAUAACAAUUUCCUCUAGUCACUUAAAACUAUUGUUAUGACUUGGUUUGUCUACAAAAUAGUUUCUUCCAUCCAAUUGUGUUCUUUUUCUUUUUUGGUUUGUUGUAAUGUAUGUAUCAUUUUUCUGUUGGCGAGAAGCAAGCAUUUAAUUGUUUGUUUUCUUCAUUUGUUUGUUGGUUUCCAUAUAUAAUAUUCUAAGAGGUACCCAGUGAUGUAAGGACCACAAGGUUCUUCAGCUUUAUAUGGGGUAAACUUCUGAUGUUUGCAUGUCCCUAAGCAAAAAGAAGCUUCCUUCUUGUUGAGGGCUUUCUCCUUUGGAAGAAUUUCUCCAUAUGGAAGCAGUCUCAUAUUCCAUAGCAGCAUUGCUGCCAUGAAACUUUGGGACUGGCCAUGAGAUGUAUAUUUCUUAUAUUUCAUUGUAGAUGAUGCCUACAGUGUAUGAUCACAAUAUUAGUUUCUAACCUAAGCCAUCAGCGUGACAUUGCAUUGUUUCUGCAUUUGGACAUUUUAAUUAUCUUCCUUUUUCAUAUUCAAUCUACCUGAUCAUGUAUGUCUCAAAGAUGUUGUCAAUGUCUCUAUAUGGAUGUCUACAAGGCUUCAUCUUUGUUAUAUCCUUUUCCAUAGUUUUAUAGAUGUUUCAUGAUGGCCUUAAUAUAAUGUGAUAGCCAUCUUUUGUGACUUCAAGAACAAAGUUCUCACAUGUUGCUAUUCAAUCUGCUGUGUAGCCUCAAUAAUAUGUUUGUACUUGUUGCUCCUCUAUUCAUUUUCUUCUGUUAACUCAUAGUAGGCACCUAAUUCUUUGUUUUUCUUUUGGCGAGUUGGGCCUUCCAUUGCUUGUUCUGUUCAUAUUUUUCUGCUUACUUUUAUAAUAUUAUGUACUAUAGGACACUCAAUAAUAUUUUUUCUCCAAUCCAAAGUAGUCUAAUAUUCCAUUGCCCUAGAUAGUGACGUUGCUGCCAUGAAACUUUGGGUCUAUCCAUGAGACAGUUUUCUUAUGCUUUAUCAUGUCUGACUAAUUACUAGUUUAUUGCAAAAUGUUAUUUGUGGGUUGACACUGUUACUUCUCUAUGUAGUAUGUUUUAAUUAGCUUUGCAUAACCUUCAGUCUAUCUGACCAUGCAGAAGGAUUUAUGUGUAAAUGUGAAUUAUAUGUGCUAUUUAUAUGUCUAGUUUGUUAUAUAUCCUUUUUUAUUGUGCGUAUGUAUUCCUGGAUUAUCUUAAUGUGAUAUAUGAAAUCGAACACACUCAUAUCUCUUUGCAUAGUUGCUGGAAGUGUGUUAUUUGAUUAUGGAUUCUAUUGGUGCUGUUAGUGUAAUCACUUUGCUUAGCUACUAUCUCAUAUGGCGGUACUGCAUUUACAGAUAAUGCUGGAGUCAUCGUGAACCCCAAGGGCGAGAUGAAAGGUAAGAGCGUGGCAUACUUCUCAAUGCAGUCUCAUAGUCCUGUUCUCCUUGAGGUGCAGGCUGCAGAGCAGCAUUGCUGAACACAUGGAUGCUCCUUUUGCAGGAUCUGCUAUCACUGGACCUAUUGGCAAGGAGUGUGCUGACCUUUGGCCUAGGAUUGCUAGUGCAGCAAACGCCAUUGUCUGAUAUCAUGGUUGGGGGAUGUUUGAGAGAGUUUCGUUGUGCUCCUUAUUAGGUCCAUUUUAACCUGUUUUGUACUCCGUACCUCAACAUCUGUGAUAAUGUACUUGAUUGAACAUAUGUGGAAAUGUACUUGAGGAGUAAUGUGCUUCAAAGGGAAAAGGCGCACAAUUAAGGGCCAGAACUGUGCACUUAUGUGGUCAGUUAAGUGAUGAGCUGGUGCUAUUAUCGUGCUUUUGUAUGGCCAUUUCAGUAUUCAGCCUGCGCUCUACCCCAUAAUUUCCUAUGAACUUGUUAAAUCAGCUAGAGCACCUCAACAGUUUGGUAAAUAUACUUCCAAAUACUAAUCCUUUUUUACUCAGUGUCAGGCGUCUACGCUGGUGUGUUGGGGCCACUAGCUAGGCCGAGGAGGAUGAGGAAGGUGCUUGGAGGCUGUUUUCUCGGUUACUUUGCCACCGUGGAAAAACACAAAAUGUAAGCGCACAUGUUGGCGCCCCUAGCGCUGUUUUCUUUCCUCAGCGCUCAUUGGAGCCCUAGCGUUGAUUUUUCCUCAGACCUAAUUUUGGGAGCAAGGGGAGCUAAACCCAAAGAAGUCAGGAAUCCCUAGAGGAUUUGAGUUUCCAAACCAACCCUCAGUCGUUUUGGAGGCUCAUGGCUCUGUCACCGUCUAGGAGGUUGGCUGUAAUUAGAAUUCUGACCACUAUUUUUAGAUCUAGAGACACUAAGAGGAUUUUGUUUUGAGUUUUUUUUGUGUGUGAGCUAGGGUACCGAGAUGAUCGACCAUGACAAGGAAUUAUUUCAUCCAUGGUCAGAGGCUCGGUAUGUAAGGAAGACAAUUGCGUGUAUGAUUUUUAGGAACAAUAUAAAAGUGUAUUUCCCGUAUACCCAAUAGUUUUUUUUAGAAAUGUUUAUUUCAAACCAAAUUUUUUCGACUCAAAAUUUAGAUAUUAUUGGGAGAUGCUCUUGUUUUGAAUAUGGGAAAUGCGAGAGCGAGAACGAUGGAGCUGAAAAUGAAAAUGCAUCAUGUAUGAUCCCAAGAAGGUUUUGUUUCUAUUAUAACAAGAUAAAAGGGCAAGUACAAAUCUCUAUAUUCAAUCGUUAUUUUCUUCAUUCAAAACUCUCAACUAUACCCGAGGUUCUAUCGUAAGUUGGUGAAAUCAGAUUCUCGCAUACAAUAACAAGACUACUUACACUCAAGCUGGGCAUUUUUUAUAACCUAUACAGGACCAGUUAUUCCGUGGGACCAAAUAACCAAAAGUAAGACUCCUUUGAAAUCUGCACAAAAUUGGAAAACCGAAACCGGAAAGUUUAGCCAUCGUCGUCUGGGUGCUUUUGCGUUACAUCCAGGAUUCAACAGUGUGGUUGUACAUGUAGGAGUUCAUCCCGUUGAUGUGCGCCUGCAGGGCGUCCGGAUCCAGUAUGUCUUCUGCCUUCAUGCCGGCCUGAAUUUAUAUAUAUAUAUAUAUAUAUAUAUUAAACAAACGCAAUGUUCUGUGAAAUUAUCAAUUGACACAUUUAAAAACAUAUAUUUUUUUUACUUUUAUUUACAAGUAGCUUUCACUUCAUACACGCAGUUUUUUUUUGUAAAAUUUGCUCGAAAACUUUGUGUUUCACGUUGGAGCACUUACCAUGUGGUCGUAUUCCUCGUGGUUCUGCAUCACCCUCGACGGCUCGCCGUAGUCGUCGUUCUUAGCGAAUCUGCCGCGGACGCGGGGCCUGCUGUCCGCCAGGGUCUUUCUGCAAGCGUACUGCAAUUUGUUGUGGGGUGCAAUGGCGUCAGCAGCAUCCAUGGCCGCAGUCGAAUUUUGAAACGCUCAAAAGCGGUGCAUGCAUGCAUGAUGGCGUCACCUUGAUCUUCUUGCUGAAGUUGCGCUCGUUCCGCUUCUUGAUGUACCUGUGGAUCUUCUCCCGUCUCUCCUCCACGGUGAUGCGGGCGCUCUUGAAGUUGGCGUCCUCCAGGCUCGACGCCUCCGCCGCCGCCGGCAGCCGCCCCGGGCUCAUGCUGCCGCCGCCGCCGCCCAUCUGGCGCGCACCACCAACAAAUAAACGUGUCAUGCAUGCAUGCGUCAUGGUCGUCACGGAUGCGCUACGCUAUGCAUGCCAUGCCGUGUGAUCCGCGCUGGCGCUCAACUGUACCUGCAUUUCGCCGGCGGCGUUUCCGCCGAACGCCAUCUGCUGCGCUGCCGCGGCGGCGGCGGAGUCGGCGUCGGGGCUGUGCGUGGCGGCCAGCGCGGCGCUGGCGCUCUCCAUCAUCCGCUGGUACUCGCCGAUCUCCUCCAUCCCCAUCAUGGACAUCAUCAUGCCGCUGCAACCGGCCCCGAAGAAGCCGCCUGCUGCU